CUUUCACUAGCCGUUCAAAAAGGGACACCUCAAGGUUGAAGUUCUUGGCCAGAUCAUACACGUUGGCACUGUACCUGCUGGUGGUCCCCAAUCAAAAUGAGGUGCUGGCAAGCUUUGCUCAAUGUGGCAAUGGUAUGGGCCUCAAGGACUUCCGCAGCUUCUUCCACUAUGACAAUCCUCGGCUCCACCUUCUGUAGGAUCUGGCGGUAUUUGGCAGCACCUC
rnacentral:lncRNA from 1 species